UAGGGAAUCUUCCGCAAUGGACGAAAGUCUGACGGAGCAACGCCGCGUGAGUGAUGAAGGCUUUCGGGUCGUAAAACUCUGUUGUUAGGGAAGAAUAAGUGCUAGUUGAAUAAGCUGGCACCUUGACGGUACCUAACCAGAAAGCCACGGCUAACUACGUG
rnacentral:rRNA from 1 species